rnacentral:siRNA from 1 species
GACGUUCGUGGUGGGAUUGAACA